AGAGUUUGAUCCUGGCUCAGGAUGAACGCUGGCGGCGUGCCUAACACAUGCAAGUCGAACGAAGCACUGAGAGUUUGAGAUUUCGGUCAAGAACUUUCUUUGACUUAGUGGCGGACGGGUGAGUAAUGCGUGAGCAACCUGCCUUUCAGAGGGGGACAACAGUUGGAAACGACUGCUAAUACCGCAUGAUAUAUUCGGAUGGCAUCAUUUGAAUAUCAAAGAUUUAUCGCUGAAAGAUGGGCUCACGUCUGAUUAGUUAGUUGGUGAGGUAACGGCUCACCAAGGCGAUGACGGGUAGCCGGUCUGAGAGGAUGUCCGGCCACACUGGAACUGAGACACGGUCCAGACACCUACGGGUGGCAGCAGUCGAGAAUCAUUCACAAUGGGGGAAACCCUGAUGGUGCGACGCCGCGUGGGGGAAUGAAGGUCUUCGGAUUGUAAACCCCUGUCAUGUGGGAGCAAAUUAAAAAGAUAGUACCACAAGAGGAAGAGACGGCUAACUCUGUGCCAGCAGCCGCGGUAAUACAGAGGUCUCAAGCGUUGUUCGGAAUCACUGGGCGUAAAGCGUGCGUAGGCGGUUUCGUAAGUCGUGUGUGAAAGGCGGGGGCUCAACCCCCGGACUGCACAUGAUACUGCGAGACUAGAGUAAUGGAGGGGGAACCGGAAUUCUCGGUGUAGCAGUGAAAUGCGUAGAUAUCGAGAGGAACACUCGUGGCGAAGGCGGGUUCCUGGACAUUAACUGACGCUGAGGCACGAAGGCCAGGGGAGCGAAAGGGAUUAGAUACCCCUGUAGUCCUGGCAGUAAACGGUGCACGCUUGGUGUGCGGGGAAUCGACCCCCUGCGUGCCGGAGCUAACGCGUUAAGCGUGCCGCCUGGGGAGUACGGUCGCAAGAUUAAAACUCAAAGGAAUUGACGGGGACCCG
rnacentral:rRNA from 1 species